rnacentral:rRNA from 1 species
GCGCAGCAGGCGCGAAAAUUUUGCAAUGCGCGCAAGCGUGACAAAGUCAUCCCGAGUGCCACCCGCUGAGGGUGGCUUUUCCACAGUCUAAAAAGCUGUGGGAAUAAGGAGAGGGCAAGUCUGGUGUCAGCCGCCGCGGUAAUACCAGCUCUCCGAGUGGUGGGGAUGUUUAUUGGGCCUGAAGCAUCCGUAGCUGGCUGAGCAAGUUCUCCGUUAAAUCCAGCGAUUUAAUCGUUGGACUGCGGAGGAUACUGUUCGGCUAGGGGGCGGGAGAGGCCGACGGUAUUCUCGGGGUAGGGGUGAAAUCCUAUAAUCCCGGGAAGACCACCAGUGGCGAAGGCUGUCGGCUAGAACGCGCCCGACGGUGAGGGAUGAAAGCUGGGGGAGCGAACCGGAUUAGAUACCCGGGUAGUCC